CCUUGUUCCUUGGACUCUGGACAUUUCAUUCAGACCUCCGAACUGGAAGCUAAGGCUGCCCAUAUCAUUCAGGAAGACCAGUAAAAAAUAAAAAUAAAAAAAGGAAAAUUCUGAGUUAAAUACAGAAUAAAAACACCGCAGAGAAGGGCCACCUUCACAAUUUUCGAUCGAGAAGAGGAGCAGAGAUGGCGAGCAGGACUGCGUUACGUUUCGUUUUAUUGGCAGAGCCCUGGCAACCCGUUUGUCUCAAUCGGACUUUCGUUCGAGCUUCAUUGAGGACCGGCGGAUCUUUCUCUUCUACGCCCAGGUUGAGCGGCAAAUUCCGGGACCCCAAGGCCCGAGGUUUUCACGCGGCCAAACGAACUCAACUCGAUUGCUCUCACAACGAAACCCCGUCUUCCUCUCAGGACGACCAGGGCCCGCCUCAAGAAGCUGUUCUCAAAGCUAUUUCGGAGGUCUCUAAGACGGAAGGGAGAGUUGGACAAACCACAAAUGUGGUGAUUGGUGGCACCGUAGCAGACGAUUCAACCAAUGAAUGGCUCGCUUUGGAUCAGAAGGUGAACUCAUACCCAACAGAAAGAGGGUUCACGGCGAUUGGAACUGGUGGUGAUGAUUUUGUGCAAGCCAUGGUUGUCGCUGUUGAAUCUGUUAUUCAACAACCAAUCCCCGAGGGUCAUGUGAAGCAGAAAGUGUCAUCGAGAGGCAAAUAUGUAUCUGUGAACAUUGGACCCAUUCAAGUCAUUUCUAGUGAGCAGGUCCAAGCCGUAUACAAUGCCAUGAGGAGAGAUGAACGUAUGAAGUACUUUUUGUAGCAUGAAUUUUGUGUAGAUUGGCCGAUCAUCUAUAGCUGUAUGAUUGUCCCUCACCAUCAACUUCACUUUCUUUUGUUCUCUUUCCACGUUAGCCUGGUACAUGUUCCUCUUCAAAGGAAGACAUUUCAUAAAAAACCUCUUCAGGAGGCACUCUUGAGGAUGUUCAUACUAUUUAGGAGUUUAUAUAGGAGAAUUUUAUACAGAAAAUUUGGAUAGAUCUUAUUGCUUGUUUUGUGGGUACGGCAUCUUCAGGAGCACCAAAUUAUUUGUGUUUUUCUCUUUUGAGAUGCUUUAUCUUUUGUAUUAAUAAAUCUCACAUGCUUUUAGACAUAUCUUAUGUACAUUAGAUUGCUAAAUUUCUUAUUUGUUCUACGGGGACUUCAAUCCUCUCUAGAAUUUUAGCAGUUAGAAUAUGAGACAUUUUUAUCUUAUUGCAUCCAUAAUUUAAUUAUCAUCUGAACUUCCAGUUCACCUAUGAUAA